rnacentral:rRNA from 1 species
GUACGGGGGGGAGCAAGCGUUUGUUCGGGAUUUACUGGGCGUAAAGAGCGUGGUAGGCGGCCAAGCAGGUCCGUUGUGAAAACUGGAGGCUUAACCUCCAGACGUCGCGGAAACCGCGUGGCUAGAGUCGGAAGAGGAGAGUGGAAUUCCUGGUGUAGCGGUGAAAUGCGCAGAUAUCAGGAAGAACACCAAUGGCGAAGGCAGCUCUCUGGGACGGUACUGGACGCUGAGACGCGAAAGCGUGGGGAGCGAACAGG